rnacentral:lncRNA from 1 species
GGGCAGGAGACUUCAUCUUCAGAAGGAGAGAUGCGCUGAGGCUGACGAGGGGAUGGAGAGAUGUCCUGAGGCUGACCAGGGGAAGGAGAGAUACCUUGAGGCUGACGAGGGGAAGGAGACUUCAUCUUCAGAAGGAGAGAUGCCCUGAGGCCGACGAGGGGAAGGAGACUUCAUCUUCAGAAGGAGAGAUGCCCUGAGGCUGACGAGGGGAAGGAGACUUCAUCUUCUGAAGGAGAGAUGCCCUGAGGCUGACAAGGGGAAGGAGAGAUGCCCUGAGGCUGACGAGGGGAAGGAGACUUCAUCUUCAGAAGGAGAGAUGCCCUGAGGCUGACGAGGGGAAGGAGACUUCAUCUUCAGAAGGAGAGAUGCCCUGAGGCUGACAAGGGGAAGGAGAGAUGCCCUGAGGCUGACGAGGGGAAGGAGACUUCAUCUUCAGAAGGAGAGAUGCCCUGAGGCUGACGAGGGGAAGGAGACUUCAUCUUCAGAAGGAGAGAUGCCCUGAGGCUGACAAGGGGAAGGAGUGAUGCCCUGAGGCUGACGAGGGGAAGGAGACUUCAUCUUCAGGAGGAGAGAUUCCCUGAGGCUGAUGAGGGGAUGGAGAGAUGCCCUGAGGCUGACGAGGGGAAGGAGAGAUGCCCUGAGGUUGACGAGGGGAAGGAGAGAUCCCCUGAGGCUGACGAGGGGCAGUAGACUUCAUCUUCAGAAGGAGAGAUGCCCUGAGGCUGACGAGGGGAAGGAGAGAUGUCCUGAGGCUUACCAGGGGAAGGAGAGAUACCCUGAGGCUGACGAGGGGAAGGAGACU